UACAGAGGGUGCGAGCGUUGCUCGGAAUCAUUGGGCGUAAAGCGCACGUAGGCGGCCUGAUAAGUCGGAUGUGAAAUCCCUCGGCUCAACCGUGGAAGUGCAUCCGAAACUGCAUGGCUGGAGUCUCGGAGAGGAAGGUGGAAUGCUUGGUGUAGAGGUGAAAUUCGUAGAUAUCAAGCAGAACACCUGCGGCGAAGGCGGCCUUCUGGACGAUGACUGACGCUGAGACGCGAAAGCGUGGGGAGCAAACAGG
rnacentral:rRNA from 1 species